CCUAUUUUUAUAUGAUUUUCAUUCAUAUAACCUAGAUAAUCAUUUCAGCAAUCAAGCUUGAGGAGUCCCUUUUGUGGGUUUUGAGGAAAAGAAACCCUAAGCUUAACUAGAUUGUUGACUAAUUGUUAACUAGAUUGGUGACUAAGAACAAAUGGAUCUUGUUUGUUAUUGAUUGAUUGUCAAAGUCUAUCUCUCUAAAUCAACUAGAUCUCAUAUUCUGUUUCGUCUCACGACACAUGGUUUCACCAUUCUCAUAUUCUGUUAUCUGGUUUACAUUUAUUUGAUUUGUUGUUGGUUGAACACAAACUGUUUGAUAAAUGUUCUCUAAGUGAUUAUUUGAUUUGUUGUUUGUUGAACACAGAUCGAUUGAUAGAUACACCCCUUUAGGAUGAAUCUUUGUUAUUGCAAGAUUAGAACUAUAAUUCGUAGUUUGAACAAACCUACAUUUAUGCAGUGAAAAUGAUUCAUAUUUGAUUGCGGAAGUUGGUCAAUGAUUGUUAAUUCAAAGUUUUCUAUACUUGCUUAUUGUAAAAGAGUAAAUGCGUCUUGUGACUUAAAUUGGUGAACAAGAGAAGAGUGGAUACAUGGCUGAACUAGGCAUUCAGACCACCUCUUAAGAUUUAGUUUAAUCAUUAUUCUUUUGUAAUUAUUAUGCAUUGUUAUAAUUUAAUUUCAUACUUAAUUCCAAUCUUUUUUAUAUUGCAAAUUACAUAUAUUGAUUACUUGCCUUUUACAUGAAGCGGGUAAGGGAAUGACUUCAAGAUUGCAUCUUUGCCUCUUGCAUUUGCCGCGAAGUUACAAUCUUUUAGUCAUGUUUGGUAAAUUUGAGAAACUUUCCUUGCAUAUUGAUUUUUUGAGGUAUUUCUUUUUAUGUUUCAAUGGAAUUGUUGGCAAUUGACAUUGACUUCAUUCUCCCAAGGAGAUAGAAAAGGCAUGGCUUUGUUCUAGCAAGGAGAUAAAUUUUUUUGAAGACUAUUGCUUCAGCAAUGGCUAUAUUAACGACAUUAUUUCGCAUCCCUACAAGUUCGACAGAGUAGACAUAGCUUUGCACUAUGUGUCUUUUCUAAGGCUGUGAUAUUUUAUGAUUCUCAUUUGUGUAACUCUUCUUUCUCUGUAGUUAUAUGUUCUACCUUUUUCUCAUAGUCUCCUCAUUUUUUGGUUUUUACUUGGUUACCAAAUAAUAUUAGGGAGGGUAAAAAUUUUGUGAUUCUAAUAUUUUGUUUACCACAUUUCUAUCUUACAUGUUAUCAUAAUUUAAUCUGAAAAUGUUCUGGUUUUGGUUUAUUUUUUCAUUCAGGGCAAUUAGUGGUAAAAUAAAUAGAGACACACUCUGCCUCCUUAUGAAGGUUCACGGGGCUUUUUUUGUUCAGAUUUAUAAGGCCAGAGAAUAUUCCUCUUGAAUAUGGAGGAUUGAUUCAACCCACAGAUUUUAAGAAUGGUCCCCCUCAACCAUCUUUUAAGUUAUAAAUGUUGAAGGAGGAUAAAAAGCUAACAUACAAAUAGAAGGAAUUGAGGUUACAAGUAUAGGUUUAGUGUUUAAGUAUAAUUUUGUACCUUUGUCUUUCUAAUUUAUGCUUCUAGGUAUAACUAUAUAAUUUUGUAAUUUAUGCUUUUUAGUGUAUGAUAUUAACUCUAUUAUUGUGGUAUGAGACCAACAUAUAUUUUAAAUUUUGCAGGUUGGUGGAAGUUAUACCUUUUCAGCUUAGGUGUUAUUCUGAAGCAUAUGUCAAGAGCUUGAGAUAAUGAUAAUGACAAUGAAGGAGGGGACACAAUAACACAAAUUUGGAGUUUGGAAAGUUUUAGAUUUAUUAUCGUAUUAAUAUUAUUAUUAGGUAAUGGUUAGUUGCAAACUGCGUGUAUUUUUUUUCGAGAACUUUUCUCAUGACUGUUAACUAACAUUAAU